CCUACGGGUGGCAGCAGUGAGGAAUAUUGGUCAAUGGACGAGAGUCUGAACCAGCCAAGUAGCGUGAAGGAUGACUGCCCUAUGGGUUGUAAACUUCUUUUAUAUGGGAAUAAAAUGUUCCACGUGUGGGAUUUUGUAUGUACCCUAUGAAUAAGCAUCGGCUAACUCCGUGCCAGCAGCCGCGGUAAUACGGAGGAUGCGAGCGUUAUCCGGAUUUAUUGGGUUUAAAGGGUGCGCAGGCGGAUUUUGAAGUCAGCGGUCAAAUCGUGGGGCUCAACCCCAUCCAGCCGUUGAAACUGGGGGCCUUGAGUGCGGCGGAGGCAUGCGGAAGGCGCGGUGUAGCGGUGAAAUGCAUAGAUAUCGCGCAGAACCCCGAUUGCGAAGGCAGCGUGCCGUGCCGCCACUGACGCUGAGGCACGAAAGCGCGGGGAUCGAACAGGAUUAGAUACCCGAGUAGUC
rnacentral:rRNA from 1 species